AACUUUCAACAACGGAU
rnacentral:rRNA from 1 species